UUUAAAUAGGAGGACCGAGCGUUUAUCUUCCAACAAUGUUGACUCUCGGCUACUGUAUGAUCUGCUUGAUGCUCGAUGGGUUUAGGUGGGGACUGGGGAGGACUAUUUAUGGAAGAGAAUCCAUUUUAAAAUGCAAUCCACACUUCUGGAAAAACGGUUUAUGUUUACCAAGAGCAUUUACAUUAAGAGUUUUAAAAAGUUAUAAUAAAUCCUACAAAAAAUACAAAAAUUUACUAAAAUAGCUACUAAAAAAUGUUGGAAUGCGAUUAGUUUUACAAAUUAUUCUUCUUAGCAUUUGCAUUGUAAAACAGUAUGAAUGAAAAUGUCCUAUGAUUAUAUAAAAGGCAUGUAUUCUAA